AUACGAAGGGGGCUAGCGUUGUUCGGAAUUACUGGGCGUAAAGCGCGCGUAGUCGGAUUGGUCAGUUAGGGGUGAAAUCCCAGGGCUUAACCCUGGAACUGCCUCUAAUACUGCCAGUCUUGAGUUCGGGAGAGGUGAGUGGAAUUCCUAGUGUAGAGGUGAAAUUCGUAGAUAUUAGGAAGAACACCAGUGGCGAAGGCGGCUCACUGGCCCGAUACUGACGCUGAGGCGCGAAAGCGUGGGGAGCGAACAGGAUUAGAAACCCCAGUAGUCC
rnacentral:rRNA from 1 species